rnacentral:lncRNA from 1 species
GGGAUUUCUGUAGUGAAAGAUCCAAGUACCUAGUAAUCGCCUAGUGUUCACAAGGGCAUUUCCUCUUAAAUAAGAUGAUUUAUUCUUGCUUUUCUUUUGCUGCACUUUCUUGAAUUCAUAUUAUUGUGCUGGAACCUCAAAAUUGCAUCUCAUCUUCUACAAAAACAAUAAUUUCAAUUAUGAUUUAAAUCUCAGUAUAUACUGAGAAUUAACUACAUUUUAAUCUUUUGGUUCUAUAGGGAAUACUUGGUGAAACUGGCAGUAUUUCUUGCCUCAAGAUUUCUGCCUUUUGUUUUCCUAGGGGAGGGAGGAAAAUAUGAAUCAUCCACAAGAAUGCAGGUGACUCUACAGCCAUGAGUUCAUUGUCUGUACUUUGAGUCUCUUCCACACUACUUCCCUGUGCUUACUACUCAAAGUUUCUUUAAUACACUGUGCAUAUUUCUGCUCCAAGAUUUUCACAAACCAAACUUGGUUGAACUUUUAAAUGUCUGCAUCCCAAUUUAAUGUCUCCUCUUUCGGAACUUCUCCUUUAGGUCCCCCUUUGGCUAAAAUUCUUCUCCGUGUUUACUUGUAUGGGAUUUUAAUUUUUAAUUUUUCUUUUCUACCACUUAACAACAACUGUAAUUAAUAGGUGUCUUUUCACCCACACUCUAGGUCACAAGAGUAGAGCUAUAGAGGAACAUUAAGAGAUGUGUGUACAGGUCCUGUGGUAACUUUGUGCAAUUCUGUGUAAUUACUGCCACCUUGAGUCCACCUCUAAGAGCUACACCUCUCACUUCAAAUAGCUGAGGAAAACAUAAUGCAAGACAGACACAGUCCCUUCUCUAAACUUCCUAGAUAACACACAACAAUUUAUAACUCUAUAACACUCUGUUUCCGUCAUUACUUACAAGGUUUCAUUUAGCCUUCAUAGAAAACAUGUUAGAGAAGCCAUUUUUUUUUACAUUGUACUGUUUCAAGUUGUUAACAGGUUUAUAGCAUUAUACAAGUUUCACGCAUACGACAUUAUGUUUCUACUACUGUAUGCACUACAGCAUGCUCACCAUCACAUGUUUAGUUCCCACCCAUCACCGUAGUGUGGGUACAGUUGAUCUCUUUUACCCAUUUCACCCUCCCUCACCAGUCCUCUCUGGUAACCACUACUCUGUUAGCUCUAUCUAUGGGUUUGUUUUUCUUUGAUUUGAUUUUUUUCAUUUACUUUUUUUUUCCUUUGUUUUUUAUACUCCACAAAUGAAUGAAAUCAUGCAGUAUUUGUCUUUUUCUGACUGACUUAUUUCACUUAGCAUAAUGACCUCAAGGUCCAUCCAUGUUGUCACAAAUGGCAAGAUUUCAUCUUUUUUAUGGCUGAGUCAAGUUCUAUUAUAAAUAAAUACCUUAUCGUUUCUAUCCAUUCAUCCCUGUAUGGGCAUUUAGGUUGUUUCCAUACCUUGGUUAUUGUAAAGAAUGCUGUGAAGAAAAUAUGGAUGUAUCCAUUGGUCCUUUAAUAAAUGUCUUCUUUGGGAAAAAAAAGUUUAUUUAUUCCUCUUGAGAGCAAAAAGAGGAAGUUCUGAAAUACAGCAGAGUAAAGAAAUUCUUGUUUUAGCAAGGAUCAUCAUCAUUCUGGAGGAUGGUCAGUCUUACGUAAAAUGAUCAGAUGGAGGAUGGAAAUAGAAAUAAAGGCAGAGAGAUAGGAAAGUAUGCCUUGUCCUUUAUAACGAGGGUCAGAGAAUAGUAGCUUAGAUAAACCAGACUCAUUCAUUCAUGUAAUUUCCCUAUACCAUGCUAUGAAGGUGAGGUUAAUUAUGCCCGUUUGGGGUGUAUACCUUAGAACUGAAUUGAUUUGCAUUACGCCUGGUGUUUUAGCAAAGAUUCACUUUCCUCUACUGCUCCAAUACUGAUUAUCAUCGUCACUUCACUCACAGUGCAGAAAUCAUCCAUAGAGCUACAGAUGCCUUUCUGAUACCAGAAUUGCUUGGAUUUUACAGUAUUGGGAAAGGAGGGAGAAAAAAAUAAAAGAAGACAAAACUGAGACAGAGACUACAAACACCAGAGAAUAAUAAAAACAUGGAAGAAGCAUUCAAAUUAGAGAGAAAAGAAUGCCAUCUGAUAAUUUAACCCACUUGGUGCCAGAGCCCCAACUUCUUAAUAUGCCUAUAGAUUUAAUCUUCCUAUAAUUAUUACAUAAUAACAUAAAAAAGUUUGCACACGAAUAAGGAAAAUGCUAUUUAUAAAAUACAAGAUAAUACUGAAAAGAUAGAUGGAAUAGUGUAACAGGGAAGAACAAAUCUGACUCCCUCCAUAUUAGGUCUGUUUCUUUUACUUUAACCUUUGUAUUCUAUUACUUUCACUUUGAGAUAAGAAUGUUGCCUAUAGCCUGAAAUAUAUAGAAGGGUCUAUUCUCAAAGACUCUGAUUUUUAAGGGAAUACUUUUUUUCAUUCAUACAGAGAUAAAUAGUUGUAGAACAUAGAAUAAUAUUUGUCUUGUUGGAGAUUUACAGGAACAUUAUGACCUGACCUCCUGAACAGCUGCAGGAACAAAGCAAUUCUACACCUAGACUUUUGCAACAACCAACCACACCCCUCCCUCACCUGGCCUUUAAAAGUGCUUUGUUAAAACCCUUCAGGGAAUUCAGAAUUUGGGGGGGAUCAUGAACCUCCCAUUCUCCUUGCCUGGCCCUGCAGUAAAACUUUCUCUGCACCAAGCUCUGACCUUUUGCUUUGUUUGACCUCACUGUGAGUCAGACACACAAACAUGCUUUCAUUCAAUAAGAGUAGGGGAAGAAAAAAAGCACAGUAUCAAGUAUGAGGAAGUAGGUAAGUAUCAACUCUUCGGCUUGCAACAGAAUAACAGACCAGAGGCCAAAGCUUAUAUCUGAAAUUCACACAGGUGGGAAUUAUACAGUCAAAUAUUAGUUUUCCAAAUUUGGGCAAACUAUAUUCCAGGAAUUUUACAUAUAAAGUCUAGCUAGAGAAGGAGGUGUGGGAAUUCAAACAAUGUACUAUUUAAAAUAGAGACUUCUGCUAAGAAAUAUUAAGAAAAUGAAAUUCAGAUGGGUUUCAAAAAGGUCUGAAAUGUGUGCUAAAGAAUAAAAGAUCUGUAAAAAUAAGCAGUAUAGGGAAGUACUCUUCUUAGUUGUUGAAAGCAAGGGCUUUGGAGUAAAUUAAACCUGGUUCAAAUUGGCUUCAUCACUCAUUGGUCCCAUAACUUUGGGGAAAGAGCUCAGCUAGCCUUCUCUAAAAUGGAUAAAGCCUCUACCACAAAUAUGAAAUUGAAAGCUAUGUGAGAUGAUGUAUAUAUACAUUACUUAUCACAGUCCUGGCAGAUCAUGAAAAAUCAUAUGCAAUAUAUAGUAUGGUUAUUAGUAAGGUAAAGAAGUUGUGUAGGUGAAAGAAAUGUCAUAUGGAAAUACUCAAAAAUGUGCAAUGGCAUAUAGUUCUGUACAACUAAAAUUGGUAUCUAUGAAAUGGCCUGAAAAUUAGGCAGGAGAGGUAAAAGGGGGUUUGACAGUAAGCUACCUUAUUUCAGAAAGAGAGAAACUGCAACUUCUUUGUAAAAAAAAUAGGCAAAAUAAUUGAGAGGUGUUAUGUAGAAGAAUGCCUAAUUAUUUGUAAAUGUUAGUAAUAAAAUAUUUUGGCAAUUAUCUUGAGGAAUGAUUGGAGAAAUAUCAUAUUUGGAGGCAGGGAGAUAAAUUGGAGGUAGCAGUGUGUGCUGGAGCCCACCCUUUCCAGAACUAUAAAGAUCAGACUGUGAAAAAUUCAGGAAUUUUGUGCACUAGUGGCUAAACAUUAAGCAUCAUGAAAGCAACCUAAGUAGUAGUAUUCACACCACUGAAAUUGGCAAAUGCUACUAAAAUUAAAGAGUUGGACUACCAGCACAUCUCUCAGUAGGUGAUUUCAGAAAUGAAGGUAAGAAUGGAAAAAAUAAGGAGACUUGGAAUAAUAUUUUUUUCCAAAAAAAGCUUUUUUAAGGUACAUCCUCAAGAGUUUGUGACUAAUUAAAAGAUAAUGGUGAGAAAGAUGAGAAAUUCAAACAUUAUUCUCAGGUUGCUAACAUGGGCAACUGGAUAAAUGAGGUUAUUAUCCACUUUGACUAAGAAUGCAAGAAAAUCACACAUUUCAGAGAAUAAAAAUGUGUGAACUAAAGUAGCAGAAAAUAUAGUAAAAAUGAGAAGAGUUGAAGAGAGAAUCAAAGGAAAACCAAAAAUGACAUACAGUAAGCAUCAAAGAGAAAAAGUUCAAUGAGGAGGAGGCUCAACAACAGAAUUCACACUUGUCACAAAUAAAAAGAUCAGGGUGGGGGGAAUUCCUGAGUCUGGAAUAACUGCAUCUUAGAGAAGGUCUUUAUGGAAAUACACAAAUACACAUCUUUGCACACAUGAUAAAGGUGUGGUUGGAUCUACUUGGCAUCAUGCUCUCAAUCUCAUACACAUAGAAACACACCCACACAGAUAGGUCCUCCAUUGAAUUGUUGGUAACACUAAUCAGAGCUAAGGUUUCAGUGUAAAUAACUCAAGUAGAAAUACUGACAUAAUGACUGGCAGACAUGUCUGUGCACAUUGGUUGUUCCACUUCUCAGAUCCCUUGACUAGAGAAUUCUCUAUUCUAUCUCUAAGUCACAGCAAUUGCACCCAGAAAAUCCUUACCCUAGGCCUCCUCCUGUAUCCUUUCUGCUCCAAAUAAGGACCUUCCUGCAAUGCUCUGCAGUGGUUGAACAAGCCCUUUCCCCUCUCCUGUGGUUUCCCCUUCUGGCCUCUGUGGGGGUCCUGCCCUAUUCAAAUGUCCCCAUACUGGACAUGAAUAUAACUCUUCAGGGUCUAAAUAAAAGUGGGGAGAGCUACAAAAGAGAGCUUUAAGAAGAGCAUUAAAGGAGGUGGGUGAAAGAGAAUGAACAGCCUUUGAGAGAGGACCCAGAGGCUGAUGUGGACCACAGGGACGAGAGACACUGUGCCUUUCUUAUCUCUCACUCAGGGUCAUCAAGACCAGAAGAGAGAAAAAAAAAAAGGACAAAUAAACUUUAAUUUUAAACUGGAAGCUUAAGUAAAGAACCUUCAAACUGAGUGUUUUUUUUUUUUUAGAUUUAAUUAUUUUAUUUUUUGAAUAGUUAUUUCCCCAAUAGAAUUUUUUUUCUACUGUACAGCAUGGUGACCCAGUUACACAUACAUGUACACAUUCUAUUUUCACACAUUAUCAUGCUCCAUCAUAAGUGACUAGACAUAUUUCCCAGUGCUGCACAGCAGGAUCUCAUUGCUAAUCCAUUCCAAAGGCAAUAGUUUGUACCUAUUAACCUAGCUCCCCAACCACCCCACUCCCUCCCCCUCCCACUUGGCAACCACAAAUUGAGUGGUAUUCAUAAUGAUUUUGUAAAAGUUGAGCCUUUCAUGUAAACAAUAGAUUGAGUAGAAAUACCCUAGCAUAUGAAGAGUUUUGUACCUGAGUCAUGAAUUGGGCUGCUUUCUUUGUUAAGUUUUCUUCUUCAUACUCUUCUGUACAUUUUUUUGUGUGUGUCUUUUCAGGGCCACACCCAAGGUAUAUGGUGGUUCCCAGGCUAGGGGUCAAAUUGGACCUGUAGCCGCCAGCCUACACCACAGCCAAAGCAACAAGGGUUCCGAGCCACAUCUGUGACCUACACCCACAGCUCACUACAACGCCGGAUCCUUAACCUGCUGAUCGAGGCCGGGGAUCGAACUUGCAUCGCAAUGGAUACUAGUCAGAUUCGUUUCCCCUGAGCCAUGAUGGGAACUACUCUUCUGCAUUUUUUAAAAUGCUCUUCUGGGAGCUCCUGGUGUGGCCCAAGGGAAUCGGUGGCGUGUCUGCAACACCAGGACUCAGGUGUGAUCCCUGGUUGCACGUGGGUUAAAGGAUCUGGUGCUGCCCCAGCUGUGGAAUAGGUCUCAACUGAGGCUUGGAUCUGAUCCCUGGCCUGAGAACUCCAUAUGCCUCAGGGUGGCCAAAAAAAAUUUUUUUAAUAAAAUAAAAUAAAAUAUUCUCCUGUAUUUUAUUAAAACAUUACAUUUUGUAGAAACAUCAUAAAAAAAUUUUAGUACAACAGAAAUUACUAGAAACUAAAAUGUGUCUUCUACUCCACCCCACCCAGUAAUAAAUAUGUGAAGGGUUUUGUAUUAAAAAAUACAGUUAGGGGUAGUUCCCACUAUGGCUCAUGGGUUAAGAACCCGACCAAUAUCCAUGAAUAUUCAGGUUCGAUCCCUGGCCUCGCUCCAGCAUUGCUGUGACCUGUGGUGUAGGUUGCAGAUGUGGCUCAGAUCCCAUUGCUGUGGCUGUGGUCCAAGCUCUGAUUUGACCCCUAGCCUAGGAAAUUCCAUAUGCUACAGGUGCCACUCUAAAAAGCAAAAAUACGGUUGCGGGGUUCCCGCUGUGGCUCAGUGCAUUAAGAACCUGACAAAGUCUCAGUGAAGAUGCAGGUUUGAUCCCUGGUCUCACUCAGUGGGUUAAGGAUCUGGCAUUGCCAUAACCUGUGGCAUAGUUCACAGAUGUGGCCUGUAUCUGAUAUUGCUGUGGCUGUGGCAUAGAACAGAAGCCACAGCUCCAAUUCCACCCCUAACCUGAGGACUUCCAUAUUCCACGAGUGUGGCUACAGAAAGAGGAAAAAAAAAAUUCAACUGGUGUAAUAAUGUAUAAAAUAUACAGAAAUAUACUUCCUUUAUCAAAGGGUAUCAUUCUCCAAAAGUGCUGAAUAUGCUGCCUUUAAUCUAGAUGCUCUCUGCUAUCUAGACUGAUGGAUUAACAGGAGUUAAUGUUACAGGUUAACAUUUUUUUUCUAUAAAGAGCCAUAUAGGAAGAUCUUUAGGCUCUGCAGCCAGAGGGACUAUUACAGCUAGUCAGCUCCAUAGUUUUACCAUGAAAGCAGACAUAGACAAUACACAACUGAAUGAGUGUGUGUGCAUUCUAACAAAGCCUUCUU